rnacentral:rRNA from 1 species
GGUGAUGGAUGGGGAUGCGUCCGAUUAGCUUGUUGGCGGGGUAACGGCCCACCAAGGCAACGAUCGGUAGGGGUUCUGAGGGGAAGGUCCCCCACAUUGGAACUGAGACACGGUCCAAACUCCUACGGGAGGCAGCAGUGAGGAAUAUUGGUCAAUGGACGAGAGUCUGAACCAGCCAAGUAGCGUGCAGGAAGACGGCCCUAUGGGUUGUAAACUGCUUUUAUAAGGGAAUAAAGUGAGUCUCGUGAGACUUUUUGCAUGUACCUUAUGAAUAAGGACCGGCUAAUUCCGUGCCAGCAGCCGCGGUAAUACGGAAGGUCCGGGCGUUAUCCGGAUUUAUUGGGUUUAAAGGGAGCGUAGGCCGGAGAUUAAGCGUGUUGUGAAAUGUAGACGCUCAACGUCUGCACUGCAGCGCGAACUGGUUUCCUUGAGUACGCACAAAGUGGGCGGAAUUCGUGGUGUAGCGGUGAAAUGCUUAGAUAUCACGAAGAACUCCGAUUGCGAAGGCAGCUCACUGGAGCGCAACUGACGCUGAAGCUCGAAAGUGCGGGUAUCGAACAGGAUUAGAUACCCUGGUAGUCCGCACGGUAAACGAUGGAUGCCCGCUGUUGGUCUGAAUAGGUCAGCGGCCAAGCGAAAGCAUUAAGCAUUCCACCUGGGGAGUACGCCGGCAACGGUGCA